CUGAAAGAGAAAGACAGGGAGCAUUGUUCUCAUAAAUUGAUUUGGGGCAACGAAGUAACCAAAGCUUUUAGCUCUCAUAAAACGACGACGGAGACAUCCAAAAAACACUACCUAAUAAUAUUAACUCACUCUCACUUCUUCUUCUUCUUCAUCGCUUGGAAUUGGAAUUCUGCUUUCCUGUUUGUUUCUCGGGAAUCCAUUUUCCAUGGAAUCUCCUUCCACCUAGACCAGAAGAUUCCGAUUCCGAGACAUGGAAAACCAAACGCAGUCUCACACCAGCCCCGACUUCUCCUCCGUCUCCACCGACCGUGGCGACGACGACGACGAUGACGACUCCGAACUCCAAUCCAUAACUGGAAAGGGCAUUAUGCAUCUUUGUUCGGAGCUAAUCGAACUAAAGGCGGCCUCGAAUGAAGAGUUUCAAAGAAACAUCAUUUCUAAUUAUUCAGCCUUUGUUAGAGUAUUCGAAGAAGUAGAAGGUGUUGAGAAUGAACUUGUGGAACUGAAAAACCAUGUCUUGACCCAAAAAAAGCUCGUGAAGGAACUAGUAGAUGGCAUCUAUCUAGAAUUUUUAUCGGAAGAUACAAUAGAAUCGAUUAUAGAAGAACCUGCUUGCAUUGAUUCACCUCAGCCAAGUGAGUUAGAUGCUCUCAUUAAUGAUGUUUCAGAAACCCUGGAUCUUCUCCUAUCAGAAAACAAGAUAGAUGAAGCUCUGGACAUUAUGGACUUGGAGGAUGAAAAUUUUCAGAGGCUGAAGUUCGAAGGAAAUACUCCAUCAGAUGUUUUAAUGUAAUAUAACUCUGCAAUUUGUGAGAGGAAGGCCAUGCUUACACACCAGUUGACGCUGGUGGCUGAAAACCCAAGAAUAGCUGCACCAGAACUUCAAAUGGCACUAGAUGGACUUUGCAGACUUGGAGACAGUCAUCUUGCAACUCAAUUAUUGCUUGAAUAUUACCAUUUACGUAUUGCAACUGGAGUACAUGAUUUGUGGUGUUCAAAAACGUAUUUAUAUGGGAUUUACAUUAGGGAGCUUGCAAAAUUUGUGUUUUCUAUGAUUUCUCAAGCCUCAAGGAGCUUCAUAAUGUUACAUGGGGAAGCUUUUCCUUAUGCUUCAGAACUUAUUCAGCGGGCCUGCGAAGAAACCAAAGUAUUUGCUGUUUGCUUUAAUAAAUAUGUUAAGUCCAUUUCAGAAAUAAAUGGAAGAUUAUCCACAGUGGUAGAAGCUGUGCAGUUUGCAAUGUUGUUUUGCUCUUUGUUAGAAACUCAGAAAUUAGAGUUGUGGCCUCAACUGAUCAAGAAUAUUUGUCCUUGUGUGGAAGAGGUUCUACAAAUACAUAUAGAUAUCUUGUAUCAGGAAUAGUAAAUGAAGGAUGCUCUUCUAUGGCUGUUGGGCAACAACCAGAAUAUUGCUUGCUCACUAGCAGCGGCCAUAAGUUUGUAACACUCUUACAGGCUAUCAUAGAGGAUGCUUCACCUCUGGUUGCCCUUCAAAUGGAAGGUUCAAUCCUCAGUGGACUCGUGAACCUUUUUGUGGAAUAUACUAUCAUCCUUGAAAGAGCCAUCACCUGUGAAAAAAUUGCUGCUGAAAAAAAUGGUUCAAGAAUCAAUUUGGCAGAGUCACUGCCCCAACAGGUCUCUAUUCUAGCGAAUCUAUCAACACUAGAGUUCUUCUCUAUCAUCAUUGAAAAUAUAUUUGGGAGCAUUAGUCAUAUCAAUUCUGACCCAGUGAGAAGCCAUUUAGUUGGUGGUCAACUGGAGGAACUUGAUAGUUGUAUAUUGUUUAUUCAAGAGGCUUCCAGUCAGCUCAGAGACUGUUUCUGCCAGAAAUUUAUACAUAGAAUAAUGUUGCUGGAAACUGGCUCCACAAAUACACCAGAAACUUGCAUUGAUGAUCAACAUGAUCUGAUGCCCCCUGUUGCCUUUCACGUACUAUUCUUAGAACUGAGGAAAUUAGAAAAACUUGCUGACGAUGGUGUUAUUGAAGUUGAUUGGUUGAUGGAACUUUUGAAGGAACUAAUAGAGGCCAUAUAUGUUUGGAUAUCCAACAAUAAAGCAAUCUGGGCAACUAGUGAAGAGAAUUUUUCUGCCCAACAUUCUGACAAUUUCAAGAGGUUUUCUGCAUACUCGACUUACUUGACUUCCAUUGCCCUCUUUUAUCUGCUGAUCUGCUUCACCUUCUUGCUUGGAUGCUUUGCAAGUUUUGAGCACUUAAACUCACAAAUGGCACUUCCUCCUCCCACAAGAAUGGGUGGACAUCGAGAACAGUUUGUUUUGGACAUGUAUUUUCUGGAGGAAAUCGCAAUGCGUGGAGGAUAUUUCUCCAACAAUACCUUGGUUCUUGUAACUUGUAUGAGAUCAGCCUUUGCCUCAGCUGGACUGAAUCCUGAUAGGGACUCGGGGGAUGAUGAAAGUAGUAAAUCAGAAGUUUCUGUUAAAGCAGAAAAAAUGAUAUUGAAUACAGAAUAUAGCCCUUUUGGAGGGUUCUUGGAUCUUCGUGAAGAGGAGGAUGGUUCUUUUUACGGGAGUGCUAUAAAUUCAACAGACAGUUUUGUAGAAAUUGAAGAUAAUGUCUCCAGAAAACUGGCUAAUGCAGUAUAUGACGGACCCCAGAUCAUUGAGAAAACUGAUUUACCAGCCACAUUAUCUUUGGAUAUUGAUGGAAAAUAUUAUAAGGCAAGGACCUUCAUUGAGGAGGAGAGUAGUCAUCGAGUUAAUGUGGCUGAGUCUGUAAGUAACAGGCUAGAAGAUGGUGGACGCUUGGGUGUUUCAGGGACUGUGGUUGCUACUGCAGAAGACUGAUGAAUAUGAAAAAGAGGGCAUAAAUCAGACUGAUUCUGUUCUUACAAAUGAUUGCGACAAUGUUCAUAUUAAUGCAGUCAAUACUCUCUUCAAGCAUAAGGAAAUUAACGUAAGAGAAAUUGAAUGCAUGAAUUGGGAAACUGAAGGGCAUGUUGGGAUGGAUGAUGGUAAUGUCAAGCAACAAGUAGAGCAAUUCUGAUAAAUUCAGCAUAGACGUUGGGUUGAUAAGGACUCCAGCUGAAGUUCUUAAUGUUCCAUGAUUUAGGAGGGACAGGUGAGAUGAUUUGUUGGUGGUAAGGCAGUUGAGAAGAUUUUGGAUUUAAAAAUCUACCUUUUAGAAAUGUGAGUUAAAAAAAGGGUGGUGCAGCAAGUUGCCGGAUUUUCUUGCCUCAAAUAUGUUGCAUAAAUGAGAUUGGUGAAACUCGAAAUUAAAGUUGCUUUCCUGUAAAGUAAUUUAUUUGGUGAGCGAGACUUGACUAGUUAGGUUUUGCGGACUAGUUUUUAUCAAACCUAACAAACAUUUCAGAAUCUUCAUUAUCUGAUAUGAAUUUUGAAAUUGCGCCAUCUGCAUAUAGCAAAUGCACUUUCCUAAAAAAAAACAUACAUACUUCUUUUCUUUUAUUGGCUAAAUUACUAUUUCAUUUCCUAAACCAUGUUAGUUUCUAAAAUUUUGAAACUAGUUCAAUCUUACCCUUAUAUCCAUUUGCUAAGGAAGAAGAAGAUUGAGAUGAUUUUGAGGAAGAAAAAAAGGUAUAUCUGAAGAGACGAACGCUAAAACACAACUCUUUAUAACACAAAGGAAUAUAAAUGCAGUUAAACAUCUGAGCCAAAAAUUAAUUUACGAAAGAAAUCCAUAAUAAUAAAAACCUCUAAAUUUUCAAUCUUCAUACAAUUUCAUCAAUGGUUGAAAAAUUUGAGAGAUGGGGAUGUUAAACUGCAAUUUAAAGGCUUGAUUCCUUCUAGAUUUGUUUUCAUAGAACAGCUGACCAUCUCUAUUCUCUGAUGACAGAAAAAGAUCCCAAGUUUGUCAGCACUACAGUGGGAGAGAAAAGUGAGAGAGAGCACAGGGACUCUUUGUGGCUCUAGACACAGAAUGUGAGAACUGACCAAAAUACAAGAUCCCUUUGCAUCAAAGCAUGAGUAUGAAGCAGUAAAUUUUGAAUCAGUAAGCAGAGUAGGUAGUGCCU